rnacentral:rRNA from 1 species
UAUCCGACUCUCCCUUGCCCUCGCCGUGCUCGCCAUGAUGGGAUCGACGCUCAUACCGGUCGAUGGCUAUGGGUAACAAGGGUGCCUUCGGGUGUCCCGCUUCUCGAUAUGGGCAUGAUGAUUUGCUAGCUGCUGACGUUCGGCGGUUUAUGAGAGGCUGGCUACCUGUCUUACCCACAUGAUCUGCUUCAGUGGAACUUUAAGUGUUUCAAUAGUGCCUAGGGGAGGACGCAGCGUUGAAUAUUGCACCCUGGCAACACCCCUGAUGCACCCGCCUCAGAGCUCCCAAACGUCAGGGCAAUCUCAUCCGUUUUCACAGAAACGCAAAAAAUAAGUUUGGCAUAUUGCUGUUUGAAAUUAAAAUAGUACCGCAGGGGGCCUCCCCCCCCUUUUUGUUUGAGUGGAGCUAGAACGUAAUCGGACGGGAGGACAAAAAACAAUGUGGCGGCGCG